GGAGGAUGUGAAAAAGUCUCUUUACGACCAACAAAAUUCCUUUGUGAUACUUGACUGACCAUGUUAGUACGAGCAUUAGUACCGGGAUUUGAUCCAGGAGGACGAACUGGACGCCAUUGCAAAGAUGGUAAUAAAAGAUAAUUAGUUUCUUCUUUAUGUUCAAGAAAUCUUGAUGCUUCACUUGUUUCUAUUUUUAAAAAUAGAAAAAAUAGCAAGAUUAUACAACAAGUAGCAAAAAAAUUGUUAUUUGC
rnacentral:lncRNA from 1 species